AUGCUCUGUAGGCUUAAAUGUUACUUUAAAGGUGGCAUUGUUUCAGUCUUCUGGGGGCUAGCAUUUAUUCUGUACAUCUACAGGGCUGUUGCUCCAGACUUGUGUUUUACAAAUACCCAUUUAAAAACAAGUACAUGCGAAUCUGACUUUGGUUUCCUCCCCCUUCCCCUUUCAGUCUACUUUGGGGAUGAAGGAUGUGGUGGUCCUGUUCUAGAACCAGCCAAUGGACAGAGAAAGUGUCUGAAGAUACGAGCAUUCCAGAGGACGAGAGGAUAUGCCAGGACAGCUAAAGCAGGAUCUUCUGUGUUGUGGGAAAAACCUUUUCACCACAGACAUCUUGAAAGUGACCACCUUGGAGGCUCCUCAUUCCUUCUUGAGAUGUUGCACAACUCAAGACAUGGGUUUUACCAUAUUGGGCAAAGCCAUGGUUUGGUUUGUUCUGAGCCUCUGAGAUGCAGGCUCUGGGUGGACUGGUCACCGUUUUGGCAUUCCCAGUGGUGGAAUUGUGUGGACAAUCAGAUCGCUCAGAGGAAGAGGAAGAUUUACUGACAUCCUUAUCCACAUUCCAGGGCUUGCCUUUCAUCUUCUCAUCUGCAUCACUGAACCACAAGAGAGAGAGGGGGCAAUUAAUGUUCCACCACUUGCAGGGACAAAGCUCGAGGGGCUUCUGCUGCUUUCGUCCCUUGUAUGUGCUGUGAAUUCCUCAGAGUUUGGGUAUAUGAGGUACCUGCACAGCCACAAUGGAGCAGAUGAUACAGCUAAGGAACGUUUUAGUGGUUUGGUUCUCAGGCAAAAGACCUGGGGUGUUUUUUCUCUCCAGUAUUCAAGAAUAUGCAUUUAUGAUAUGUGGCCUGUCUGUGCUAGUGGAAUGUAAGUGACAGAACACAAAUGCAUUAGAUCAUGAACUGUCAUUGACCUCUCAGCAACAAUAUGUUGAUUAACAUCACCUAGGGACCUACGAUUCUUUUUUUUUUUUUCCGUCUGCUUCUUGGGGGAGGGGGGAGAGAUGUUUAAUCAAAUUUGGAGAAUUAUCUUGGCUGACAGCAGUAAGUCUAAUCAGAUGACAGAAUUCAUGUCAAAGCUGUUAAUGUAUAAUUUUAUUUGUUUAAAAGAGAUUGCUUGACUUGUAAGUGGAUGCUUUCACUUACAAUUUUAUCGAGUACUCCUUAUUACAUAUAGGAGAUUCACUGUUAAUUUGUUUCUCAAGAGCAAUGCUUUAUCUUGUUAAUUUAGUGCCAUGUUCAGUGCAUCUUGUUCCUUUACAUCCCGUUUUAAGAAUUACAUGAUCGAGCUGUCUCUGUAUGUGUUAUCUAUAUGCAAUAUAUAGAUAACUGACCUAAUGAUGUGAAUAAAAUUUAAAUUCUU
rnacentral:lncRNA from 1 species